rnacentral:rRNA from 1 species
UACGGGGGGGGCAAGCGUUGUUCGGAAUUACUGGGCGUAAAGGGCUCGUAGGCGGCCAACUAAGUCAGACGUGAAAUCCCUCGGCUUAACCGGGGAACUGCGUCUGAUACUGGAUGGCUUGAGAUUGGGAGAGGGAUGCGGAAUUCCAGGUGUAGCGGUGAAAUGCGUAGAUAUCAAGUGGAACACCAGUGGCGAAGGCGAGUCUCUGGACAUUUCCUGACGCUGAGGCACGAAAGCCAGGGGAGCAAACGGG